rnacentral:rRNA from 1 species
UACGUAGGUGGCAAGCGUUGUCCGGAAUUAUUGGGCGUAAAGCGCGCGCAGGCGGCUUCUUAAGUCUGAUGUGAAAUCUCGGGGCUCAACCCCGAGCGGCCAUUGGAAACUGGGGAGCUUGAGUGCAGAAGAGGAGAGUGGAAUUCCACGUGUAGCGGUGAAAUGCGUAGAGAUGUGGAGGAACACCAGUGGCGAAGGCGACUCUCUGGUCUGUAACUGACGCUGAGGCGCGAAAGCGUGGGGAGCAAACAGG